GACGAACGCUGGCGGCGUGCUUAACACAUGCAAGUCGAACGGUAAGGCCCUUCGGGGUACACGAGUGGCGAACGGGUGAGUAACACGUGGGUGAUCUGCCCUGCACUUCGGGAUAAGCCUGGGAAACUGGGUCUAAUACCGGAUAGGACCACUGCCUGCAUGGGUGGCGGUGGAAAGCUUUUGCGGUGUGGGAUGGGCCCGCGGCCUAUCAGCUUGUUGGUGGAGUGAUGGCCUACCAAGGCGACGACGGGUAGCCGGCCUGAGAGGGUGACCGGCCACACUGGGACUGAGAUACGGCCCAGACUCCUACGGGAGGCAGCAGUGGGGAAUAUUGCACAAUGGGCGCAAGCCUGAUGCAGCGACGCCGCGUGAGGGAUGACGGCCUUCGGGUUGUAAACCUCUUUCAGCACCGAGGAAGCGCAAGUGACGGUAGGUGCAGAAGAAGGACCGGCCAACUACGUGCCAGCAGCCGCAGUAA
rnacentral:rRNA from 1 species